rnacentral:lncRNA from 1 species
CUGCCAGGGCGUAGUCAAAGGCUCCUGGACUUCCUGUCUGUGACUACGGGAUCAUUCAGCAUUUACCCACAUCAACAAAUAACAAUGCAAUGCAACAUAUUCGUGGUUACUAAUGCACUCAACCUAUGGCAUAAUCAUGAUGCAUGAGAUAUGCUAAAACAUUCCAUUCGUCAAUGAAAAGCAUUAAGUUUAGUUCCACUCACCUCUGG